UCUGAAUUCACUGUCACUGUAACUUGCCAAAGAACUAAGACGACUUCCUGGUUUGGCUACUUGGAAGCUGCUUCUCCUUUACCCAGAAGGUAAAAUCUCAAGCCUCAGCUAAUCUGGUGACGGUGAUUUGGAGUGCGCACUUUUUUCUUUGUGGUGUAUUGACUUCUUUAUCCACAGGACAGUAAGAUGCUUAUGGAAUAGGGCUUUAUUUUUACUAAUGAUGAUAUUAACACUAAAUUUCUAACAAUGUUGGAAUGGUUCUUCCUGGUUCUUCUUUGCACAGGACAAGACACAGUCUGUUGAAGUGUUAGGGAGGAACACUUGCAUGGAAAGGAAGGAACACAUAUGCUUUCAUUGUUUAACAGUUCUCAUGUCAUUUUUCCUUGGUUUCACUGAGAGCAUGGUUAAAUUUUCAUGGGGAUUACAGUUGCACACAGCGAAUCUCACAGUAGGUAAGUAUUUGAUGGAACGCUCUCAGCUAAUAUUGUAGAAUGGGCUCUUGCUUAUUUUCCUUCUCAGGGAAAAGUCUUAAAACUUCCCACAUUCAUAACAAAGCUACUUUACAUGAGAAAGGAGUUUGGAAAGAGAUGUCUGGUGAAAUCACCCCAAUGUUUUGGUCCAACUGCAGCCCCCCCAGGAUGAUGUCUGUUCUUAGUGUCACAGCGACCCCUUUUUUUCCCCAUAGUCUUUGUUAGUGAUGGACCCAUACAUGAUUCAGUUACACGACCAUGGCAACCUCCCCUCAGUGCUGGAUGUGCAUGUCAACAUCCCUGGGAGAAGCUCUGUGCCGGGAAAAAUGAAAGGCAGGAAGGCCAGAUGGUCCGUGAGGCCCUCGGACAUGUCCAACAAAACUUUCAAUCCCAUCCGGGCCAUUGUGGACAGCAUGAAGGUGAAGCCAAAUCCAAACAAGACCAUGAUUGCUCUGUCAAUUGGGGACCCUACUGUGUUUGGAAACCUGCCUACAGAUCCUGAAGUUACCCAAGCAAUAAAAGAUGCCCUUGACUCGGGGAAGUAUAACGGCUAUGCCCCCUCCACUGGCUACUUAUCGAGUCGGGAGGAGGUUGCUUCUUAUUACCACUGUCCCGAGGCACCCCUGGAAGCUAAGGAUGUCAUUCUAACAAGUGGCUGCAGUCAGGCUAUUGAACUUUGUUUAGCUGUGCUGGCCAACCCAGGGCAAAACAUCCUAGUUCCCAGACCUGGCUUCUCUCUCUACAGGACUCUGGCUGAAUCUAUGGGAAUCGAGGUCAAACCCUACAAUUUAUUGCCAGAGAAGUUUUGGGAAAUUGACCUGAAACAACUGGAAUCUCUGAUUGAUGAAAAGACAGCUUGUCUCGUUGUCAAUAAUCCAUCAAACCCUUGUGGGUCAGUGUUCAGUAGAAGUCAUCUCCAGAAAAUUUUGGCAGUGGCUGCAAGGCAGUGUGUCCCCAUCUUAGCUGAUGAGAUCUAUGGAGGCAUGGUGUUUUCAGAUUCCAAAUUUGAACCUUUAGCCACCCUCAGUAGCAACGUCCCCAUUCUGUCCUGUGGAGGGCUGGCCAAGCGCUGGCUGGUUCCUGGCUGGAGGAUGGGCUGGAUCCUCAUCCAUGACCGAAGAGAUAUUUUUGGCAAUGAGAUCCGAGAUGGGCUGGUGAAGCUGAGUCAGCGGAUCCUGGGACCCUGCACCCUUGUCCAGGGAGCUCUGAAAAGCAUCCUGCAUCGCACCCCUCAAGAGUUCUACCACAACACUCUAAGCUUCCUCAAGUCCAAUGCAGAUCUCUGCUAUGGGGCAUUGGCUGCCAUCCCUGGACUCCGGCCCAUCCGCCCUUCUGGGGCCAUGUACCUCAUGGUUGGAAUUGAGAUGGAACAUUUCCCAGAAUUUGAGAAUGAUGUGGAAUUCACUGAGCAGUUAGUUGCUGAGCAAUCCGUCCACUGCCUCCCAGCAACAUGCUUCGAGUACCCAAAUUUCUUCCGAGUAGUAAUCACAAUCCCCGAAGUGAUGUUGCUGGAGGCCUGUAGCCGGAUCCAGGAGUUCUGUGACCAGCACUACCAUUGUGCUGAAGGGAGCCCGGAGGAAUGCGACAAAUAGGACGCAGUCCAUUCUCCUGAGUGUGUGUCCCAUCGGGCUGGGGAGAGUGGGACUGAGCCCUGCUGCUCCUCAGGUGCCCCUGCUGGGAGAGGGGCCUCACAAAUACCACGACAAGGGCUCAGAAUUGCUCCAGCUUUCCCCCAGCUGUAUCCACACACACACUCUGAACCCCAGAUUUCAUCGCAUUCCGCUCUGCUGGAGUGACUCACUAAUUCAUUAAUCCACCCCUAUGACUUCCAUCAAUCCAUCCUCCCAUAUGACUUCCUCCUUUUAGCUUGAGAGUACCAGGUGAACAAAGUUACCGAGGAAACGGUAGAGACAGGAAAAUUAAGAACUCAGGAUUAGAGAAUCAAAAGAUUGAGGCAAGUUGUGCCCCCAACCAUUUCCUCUUACUCUAAGUAAGAACACAUUCUCUUCAGUCAGGUCUGAAGCCCAACUCUGUUACUGGCUCACUUCAGGUAUACAUCACGGUAUGCAAUAAUGCUAUAAUGAAAGAAGUUGGGGACACAUGUAUUUGGUUAAUUCUAAACACAUUAGGAAAGCUUGCCAAUUUGAAGGAUCACUUACAGAAACUUUUCGUUGAUUUUUUUUUUGUAGAGAAUUAUUUUGUGAUACAAAGAAAUUUAAUUGAUAGAGAUUCUAAACGUAGAUAUAUGUGUAUCAGGCUUUCUUAAAAUGACGGCACAUCUGUACUAAAAAAAGGAGGAAUCAGAGGACCUUCCAGGAACGCUGCUGUCAAAACCAAGAGGAAUAUACAAUGAUUGAGAUGAAAAACAUUUGUUUCCUGUAUGCCACUCCUGCCGAUUUUUCGAAAAUUCCUGGCUCCUCUUUUCCUGUACCUCUGGCCCCAACUCCCAAGGAUAUCUGUCCAGAGAUAAACAGGAAGACUUAGUGGUUUACACAAAACGUUUUAUCGUCACACGUAUGUAUAAUUCUAUCCAGCAUUACUGAAUCUAGACAGACUUCUUAAAUUUCCAAAUUUCCUUGAUAUCUACCAUUUUGGUAAGGGAGUCAAAUGAAAAUUCAAAGAUUUAAAAAACAAAACGGGGACUUCCCUGGUGGCGC